rnacentral:antisense_RNA from 1 species
UCGCUCACAACGAUUUCUGGUCAGCGUCAGACAAAUCAGGCCCCGGCCAUGAGUCGCCAUAAAAUUAAUGACUUCUGGUGUGACAUGCUCAGCAGCAAUAAUCA